UACGUAGGUGGCAAGCGUUGUCCGGAAUUAUUGGGCGUAAAGCGCGCGCAGGCGGCCUUUUAAGUCUGAUGUGAAAGCCCACGGCUCAACCGUGGAAGGUCAUUGGAAACUGAAAGGCUUGAGUACAGAAGAGGAAAGCGGAAUUCCACGUGUAGCGGUGAAAUGCGUAGAGAUCGGGAGGAACACCCGUGGCGAAGGCGGCCAACUGGGCCGGACCUGACGCUGAGGCGCGAAGGCGUGGGGAGCGAACGGG
rnacentral:rRNA from 1 species